rnacentral:lncRNA from 1 species
CUGGGUGCUCCUGGGCAACAUCCUACGUCCGAGGCUAUUCUUUUCCAGCCUUAUCUGCCAAGAGUGCUCGCUUCCUUCCAGAGUUUUACUGCACUCCAUUUAUCAAUUGGACUUGACAACAAAAGAAAGAACGGGGGGAAAACCUGGGGCAGAUUCAAGUCACUUCCACUCUGUAUGAAGGAAGGGGGAGUUCCUUACGGGCACGGUGCGGGUUGUCAGUCCCGCUGCAGCGGCGGCAGCUUUUGUGCGAUGCUUCUCCCUCUGCCCCCCGAUCCUUUCACUGUCACGGCCUCGGAAGAACACAGCGGGCACGGCGACACGGAAGCCCGGCUCUGCCCUGCACCGACACGUUCCGGCGACACGUUCCGCGCUUCCAGAGAACACACAGAAAUUAAAAAAGUUUGUUAAAAUCGUCUUUCUAGGAGGCGAGGGCACUUCCGCGUAUCGCCCCGUUCUAUCCAACGUGCCAAAGAGCGCGGCGGUUCAAUAAAAGCCACCCGAGAUACCGACCCGGCUGCGGGACCGACGGAGCACCGCUCUGGGGGCGGGGAGGGCGUCGGAGAAAGGCGGCCCGUGGGGAGAGGGCCGCUGGGGGCCGCCCGGCGCGGGGUCCGGGGGUGGCGGUGCGGGGAAGGAGAAGGUGAAGGCGAAGGACGGGGUUCGGCGGGGCCGAGAGCGAGCGGGGAAAGUCCUUCCCCACGCCCACCCCUCCCCGAGCGGCGCCUGUUCUGGUCGGAGUCCAGGUCAGGAAUUGGCCGCGACCCCUGAAGCACUUGCCUUGUUCUUCACUUGUCAAACGUGUUUUAUCUCUAAGUGACCUUUUUGUUAAUGUUGUAGAUUGUGUGGGCCACCAUGUCAGAUCCGGAAACAAAAGUAAAAGAUUGAUUAACACGUUUUGCCUGUGGAAAAAAAAAAAUUGUUACGGGAUGAGGAGGUGGGGAAGAGCGGGACGGGAAGUACAAAGGGGAGAGCGGCGGGCGGCGCGGGGAGCGGCAGAAGGGCCGCAGGCAGCGCUCACGCUG